AGCAGCCGCGGUAAUUCCAGCUCCAAUAGCGUAUAUUAAAGUUGUUGCAGUUAAAAAGCUCGUAGUUGAAUUUCGGGAUUGACGUGAUGGUCAUGCCUUAAGGGGUAUGAACCGUUACAGUUGAUUUCUCACCUUCUGGAGAAACUUGAUGUCCUUUAUUGGGUGUCUUGCGGAUCCAGGACCUUUACCUUGAAAAAAUUAGAGUGUUUAAAGCAGGCAUUUUUGCUCGAAUACAUUAGCAUGGAAUAAUAGAAUAGGACGGCAUGGUUCUAUUUUGUUGGUUUCUAGGAUCACCGUAAUGAUUAAUAGGGAUAGUUGGGGGCAUUAGUAUUCAAUUGUCAGAGGUGAAAUUCUUGGAUUUAUUGAAGACUAACUACUGCGAAAGCAUUUGCCAAGGAUGUUUUCAUUAAUCAAGAACGAAAGUUAGGGGAUCGAAGACGAUCAGAUACCGUCGUAGUCUUAACCAUAAACUAUGCCGACUAGGAAUCAGACGAUGUUAAUUUUUUAAUGACUCGUUUGG
rnacentral:rRNA from 1 species